UACAGAGGGUGCAAGCGUUAAUCGGAAUUACUGGGCGUAAAGCGUGCGUAGACGGUUAUGUAAGUCGGGUGUGAAAGCCCCGGGCUCAACCUGGGAAUGCCAUUCGAGACUGCAUAGCUAGGGUGCGGAAGAGGGAAGCGGAAUUUCCGGUGUAGCGGUGAAAUGCGUAGAUAUCGGAAGGAACACCAGUGGCGAAAGCGGCUUCCUGGUCCAGCACCGACGUUCGGGCACGAAAGCGUGGGGAGCAAACAGG
rnacentral:rRNA from 1 species